CAGUCAUACCAACGGGAAAUCAACCUUUUGAGCUUAGCCUCGUGGGUUUUGAAAGAGUUUCAAAGCCUUCGGAUUCGCGAGAUUGGGAUCUCUUGGCGUACUUUUUCGUACGGUUAGCCAACAUCGGUUUUGAAUGUCAUAAAAUGACUGGAGGAAUGUAGCUUCGAUCUCGUAUUGAAGUGUUAUAGCCUUUGGUAGAUGUGAUGUUUGAGACCGAGGAUUGCAACGGAUACCCUUCAGGGCUAUUCGUCUGAUCUCUGAUACGUUGCCCUGAUGUUGAAAGCUUGCUUAUGAUGUUAGGGUAUUACGGUCAAAAGGUUAGAACGGAUUAGA
rnacentral:rRNA from 1 species